GACGGAGGGUGCAAGCGUUGUUCGGAAUUACUGGGCGUAAAGGGCGCGUAGGCGGUCUGUUAAGUCCGGUGUGAAAGCCCCCGGCUCACCUGGGGAACUGCGCCGGAAACCGACAGACUCGAGUACCGGAGAGGAGGGUGGAAUUCCUGGUGUAGCGGUGAAAUGCGUAGAUAUCAGGAGGAACACCGGUGGCGAAGGCGGCCCUCUGGACGGAUACUGACGCUGAGGCGCGAAAGCGUGGGGAGCGAACAGG
rnacentral:rRNA from 1 species